rnacentral:rRNA from 1 species
AUGGAUAAAGGAGGCGGCCCAGCGCGCGACGGCCCGGAUUCAUCUUAUCCGUUUUGUGUCCGGGCUGAUCCAUUUCGAGCGCAAAUUUGCACCGGGUUUGGGUCGCGACGGACACCAAACGGACGUGCGUCUCGUCUGCGUCGGGGCCGCGUGGCAGGCGGCCACCUACCUUCCACCCGCCCACAUCAAUGCACACGAGCGGGCGGCCCCACCUGUCAUCUGCACGUCGAACGGUCGCCGUCCUUCUUUAAGUGGGAAGCGUGGACGGGUCGUCGUCCACACUGCCCCACACCACCCCGCGGCCUCCUCGAAACCCGACAGCCCCAGUCCCAAAACCCUAGCCAACACCUCCCCGGCCGGCCGCCCGCAGCAAUGGGCCUCUGGAAGUCCGGCCGCAAAGGCAAGCACAACCGCGAGGCUGGUUCCUCGUCGGGACGCAGCCGCGGCUCGCCAUCGCCACCACGCCGAGCCCCCGCGCCGCCCGCCUUCUCCAUCGCGCCCACUUCCGCCGGCGACCGCGAUCGGCAUUACGUCUGCUUGUCGGUGUGCCGCCGUUAUUGGAAGACGAGGACGCCGCUCCCCUGGAGCGACGUCCAUCUCCCCAAUAACUGGCAUCUCUCCGCCGACUGGGUCCCGAUCCCGCCGGUCCCGACGAGCGGCCGUGCGAGCGAGAAGGAGAUCGAGCGCCGCCGCCGCCUCCUCCCCGACGACCUCUUCUACGACCCCAGGUACGCCCCCGACUCCGGGCUCUGGGACACCUGGUUUCGUGAUGAGCACGACACCGGUGCGCGACCUUCUUCGCCGGCACCUCGACGGGGCCGCGGCGGCCACGACAGGAGCGCGCAGCGCCUGCUCCCCAGGAGCGCGGGCGUAGGCGGGUGCGCGGCGUCACGCCCACGCCGUCGCCUUCGCCAUCUCCAUCGCCACCACCACCUCCUCGCAUGA